UACUCCUACGGGAGGCAGCAGUGGGGAAUAUUGGACAAUGGGGGCAACCCUGAUCCAGCCAUGCCGCGUGUGUGAAGAAGGCCUUCGGGUUGUAAAGCACUUUCAGUAGGGAGGAAAGGUAAUAACUUAAUACGUUAUUACUGUGACGUUACCUACAGAA
rnacentral:rRNA from 1 species